UAAAUAUUUUAUUUCAAUUUCAGAACCUCAUGUGUUGCUGUUUCGAAGACCUAUUUCUGGCUCUGUGUCUUGAUGACAAGUUUAUUUUCCUGUUAAAAGAAAUAUCAGUUGAUUUUAGAGGGUGUUAGAAAACAUGCAGUAGUUAUGUUAUUGAUGCAUAUGGAGUGACAGUGAACUCUUACAAGUGUGAAUCAAUAUAUAUUAGGCCUUGGAACAUACAUUAAUGUUUGUUAACAGCAAAAGUACUACCUUUACAGUGGUAUUGCACUGUUUAAAGAUUUUCAUAAAAUCACGAUCAGCUAGGAAAUGCUGAAUAGGUACAUCAAGGAAAUGAAAAGGAAACAUUUUCUUAUAUAGACUGAUUCAUGGAAAGCUGCAUCUCUUUGUUUAUCGUCAUCUAAACCAGAUGAUUGUGAUAAAGUUUUAAGAACUACUUUCAAGCUUCAGUGUAUAUUGUCCUCAGAUGUGUUGCACCAUCUGAAAACUACCUACCACUCUGUAAAGAUAAGGAGAUCUCAGCACUGACAUAUCCAGUUUUGCAGAUAUUCCUAUCUUCACUCGCUUUUUGCUGAUAAUAAAUUUGUUCUUUUCUUGUA